rnacentral:rRNA from 1 species
GCAUGUGUAAGUAUAAAUAAUUUUACUUUGAAACUGCGAAUGGCUCAUUAUAUCAGUUAUAGUUUAUUAGAAAUAUUUUACUACUUGGAUAACCGUAGUAAUUCUAGGGCUAAUACAUGAGUAAAACCUCAACUUCGGAAGAGGUGUGUUUAUUAGUAUGAAAACCAUAUAUCUUCGGAUAUAAUAGUGAGUAAUAAUAACCUUUCAUAUCGUAUGUCGUAAGAUAACGAUAGUUCUUUCAAGUUUCUGCCCUAUCAGCUUUCGAUGGUAGUAUAUGGGACUACCAUG